GAGACAGUAGCAGCCAUGGGAGUAUAAGUGAUUUGUCCGUUUUUCAUACUGAUUCCUUCCAAAUUCACACAGGCUACAGGCAUUGCUUUUUACUAGAAAGUAUAAAUGAAUGUGUGCAAAACUCCUGCAGUAGCACUAGGCUCGCACCAUCCAAAUCGGGCUGGUCAUACAAAACCUCCACCAACAUGUCCCGAUUCUAAGUCCCUGAUCGCUGUUUGUUUCCAGUCCUUGUAUCAGAUGUUGAAGUUUUAGAAAAUUCCUUAAGCCAUUCACGCUGUCCACCCAGAGAAUUAACGUGGGUCUCCCGUUAUCCAGCGUCUCUGCUGAAGUUCCCGUUUACUCUGCGCGUUUCAAGGAGUUUCUGCACCGCGCAUUGCUUCAAGUGAUUUGACCAAGAGUUUUAUUCCUUGUUGUGCACGGUACACAGCAGUCAUAAUUAACAAACCCAGCUGUCACUCAGCCCGGAGAGCGUCAAACCCAAAGGCCACGGAGGGUGUCCCUGAAAGCAAGACCACGCCAGGCUGGCGGGAGCCCCAUAAAUAUUAUAGGACGGUGGCGCUGACCCACACUCUUUGACAGAAACAUUAAAGCACGAGGCUUUGACACCCUCCUGAAUUCCCCGUCCCAGAGCGCACCGGGCUCCGGGCCUGGAGCAGGGCUGGAGGCUCCAAGAGGUCUCCUGCCUGUCGCCCUUGCUCUCUGGUCACACAGAACAGAACAGGUGGGGUGGCUCUCUACCUGCGAUGCAGGGCCACAGAGACCACCGCGCUCUUCUUUCUGUAGACCCACGAUUCCUCCGAGCCCAAAUUCCCACCACGUCCGGAAAGGUGCCCUCCUCGCUUUUCGGAUCAUCCACUUCCCCCUGCCCUGAAGACUUGCAGGAACCGCGCAGGGCAAAGGCCUGCUCUGUUGGGGGGCCUGCAGGGCUCCCCGCAAUUCCGUCCCCGAGGCGUGGUACCGCACGGCACCACUAGAUGGCGCCGCAGGCACACAGAGGCGGGCGCCCCGCGCCUCCCAGCGGGCUCCAGCUAGGGCAGAGGCAGCAGAGGACUGCAGGGCCCCGGAACGCUGCAAAGCCCCUCUGCAAACAGCCGUUUUGCACACAGCUGUCCUCGGCACCCGAGCAUUGUUUAAUGUUUCCCUGAGUGUUGUUUCGGGGGGUGGGGAAUAGGCUGGGCUUAAAAUCAGGGAGCAGGAUCUGCUCUGUAACCUACAAGGAGACUUCGCUUUCUGGUACGAAGGGCGAGAAGUGCAGAGUUGCUGGGGGCCGAGUCCGCGGAGAAGUAAGCGCUGCAUUCGGGAGCUUGGCUGAGGUCGGGCACUCCCAGCCCAUCCUGGCAGGGCUGCCACGAAGCCCGUGCCCGACCCACUGUCCACCGUGGUCGCGAAGCGCAGUGGUCUCUGGACGAGGACCUCGCUGGACAGCAGUCUUAUUGUUACUCUCAGCAGAUGUUCUCCUGCCCACUACACAGUCACCAACCCCUCCAUUUCCUGUGUGCUUACCUCCAAGUUUCUACAGAUGUGUCAGGGGAAAUACGACACUUGUGCCUCAUUCCUGCCGUGGUCUGUUAAGUAUGAAAGUUACCCUUCCGGAAAAAUCCAGAGGCCUGGAAGAGCUCUCCUCCUCCUCUACCCCCAGCCCAUCUCUGUCUCUGCAAAAGCAAACACAGCCCUGGGGACAGGAAGUGGUUUCCUCCCACUGGGAGUUGUGGUCUGCAGCUGGUUCAGUGCCUGGGGCAUUUAGUGCUGGCACUGGGCGCCUGUGGGGGGUGGUGAGAGCAGAGUGACCCCCAGGACCCUGCCUCACAGGCAAACCAGCUUUUCCUGUCUUCCUGGCCCUUACUCAGACCACCACAUUGCGGGUCCCUCAUUUCCAGCAGCUCCAAAGAUGGGAGGAAAGAACACAAGGGCUGAGGCCAGUGGAAUUUCCUGCCCAAGUCUGACUUUUCCAUUAUUUCCUGGCUGCCACCCCCUGUCCCUUCCUGAAGGAUGAAGCUGUAUCAGUCCCACUCUCUCUCAAGUAUCUGUCUUCAUCCUUUCCCUCCCUGCUAGCAGGAAGGCAAAUGGAUGGAUGGAUGGAUGGAUGGAUGGAUGGAUGGAUGGAGGCAUGGAUGGGUAUUUCCUCCUUAGGAAAGAUCCCCAAACACAAGUCUUUUGCUGGGACACCUUGCUCAGCCUCUCCUGGCCUGGCUGAGCAGCCUGAUGUCCACCCCCUCCCCACAGCCAAACUGUAGCUAAAUCAGGAGCCCAUCAAGGGUACAACCUUGCACUCAACCAGACUCAUUUUCUUCGUCCACCAAUCAGAGUUCACCCUAGUGAUUUUGUUUUCUGGUCUUUUUUCUGAAACCUGCUCCUUCCCGGGUGCUCUGGGAGCCUCCCCUCCCUUGGUCCCCUGCAGCCCGGAGUCCUCGACCUCUUUGCCCUUUCUUUGUACAAGCUCAGCUCUCCACGUGGCCUGGCACCACCCGAGGGCCUCCCCUCUCUUCUCCUCCUAAAGGCCACUUGCAAGCCAUAGGACCACCCACCCUGCUCCUGGGAACCACUGUGCUCGGGGGUCCCAGGGGCUCCACACUCAGAGUUCAAACUGACCUUGCCAUUGCUACUUCCCACCCAGCCUUGGGAACCCCAACUCAGCAGGGGUGCCCCAUCACCCAUGUCGGUAAGGAUGGGCCCUUCAUAAACAGCCAUCUGGCCCAUUGUGUGGCCUUGUCCCCAGCUGCCCCCACAUGCACCUCCAUGUGAGGUAACAGAAUCCCCUGGAGUUCGCCUGCAGGUAGGUCUGGCUCUGGCUGUGCUGCUAGGGUUUGCUCUGUUUAUACUGGCCUCUUUCAGGCAGCUGGAGACCAUUUCUUCCUCCCUGCACCUCUUUCUGGCUCAGUUGGGCGCCCCCAUAGAUCGCUAGUAACACCAAGGUGUUAGAGGAUGGGGGUUCCUUGGGAUCACGGUCCUGGGGGACCCAGGGUCCACAAUGCUGGGCACAGAGCUUAGCACUAGGGGGCGCUGAGUACCAGCUCGAUCUCACUUGUUUAGGCUGCACUCAAGAGGAUGUGAGGCUGGGGGUGGGGUAGGGGGGGGUGCACAGCCCUGGCACAGCGGCUCAGCACUGAGCAGCCGUGGUCCUCAUUUCCAUGUCCACAAACCUGGACGGUGAUUUCACACGAGUCCGUCCUUGGCAAGCAGUUGCCUAGAGGCCGGCCCUCGGGCGGUAGUAUUUCCACCCUAAUCUGUUUUUGGUAAGGAUCUGUUGAUGGAGCCCAAAGGAGAAAUGGCUUGGCCUUGUGGAGUGGCUGGAGAAGUGAAGAGGUUGGAGAAGAAAGCACAAGAGAGUGGAGGGGUCAUAGUGUGGACCGAGAACAUCCCCUGGAGGUCCCCAGCCCAUGGCCCUGUUGGGGGGGUGGGCCUUUAGGAGGCGGGCCCUCAUGGGAGGAAGUGAGGUCACUGGGGGCGUGGCUUCAAGCGAUACUGAGGCUGUGGACCUUCCCGUCUCUUUCCCCUUUCUCAGCUGCCGCCAGGACGUGAGCAGCCUCCCCUGCCGCACACCCCCACUGUGAUAGAUGGUGCGACACUCUGAGCCGGAGCAAACCUCUGCUGCUUUUCAGUGAUUGUCUCAGAUGUCACAAGAAUGCUAACUAUACUGAAGAAUGAGAGAAAGAAAUGGAAACUGAGUCAAAUAUUGAAACAAAUUAGAAAGAAAUCACUGUGUAGAUCUCUACUAGAAAGUAGGUCAGAGAUAAAGCUGCUGCUCUCAAAAGACUCAGCCUGGUUUUCUCUGAUGAUGACAGUGGAUAGAGACGCCAGUAGUCGGAAAGAGGUCACCUCUGCUGACCAACUCACACAUUCAAAGAUGUAAUGGCACCGCCUGCGGUCUCUGGUGAGCUGAGUGAAUCUCACCUUCCGAUAACUCGGAAGGAAAAUGCUCCUGAGUGGGAAGAAUCAUCUGGUUUUCCUUACAGACCGGAGGCGGAGGUGGAGCCUGAGGAGAUGGCUGUGCUGGGUGCAGGACUCAGGCGUGCAGGGUCCGGUAGGGAAGACUCUAGGGAACCUGCACAGCCUGCCCAGAGAGUCAUGCUCUGCAGUUUCCAGUCCUUCCUUCUCUUCUCGUGGAGAGGCCUCUAUACCCAGGGCCCCUUGGCUGCGGUCCUGAGCUCUUGCUUUCUUGUUGUCCCAUUCCCCAGGAGACCCACACGGCCGUGUCUGAAUGAACGCAGGGCACGGCCUCAUCGGUUCUACACUGAAGGCCUGUUUCUAAUUUCCUAUGGAGAACCAUGUGACUUUCUAAUUCAGGAAAACGUAAACUUCUUACUUUUAACAGACAAGAGUUGUGCAUAUCUGUGGGGUACAGCGCCAUGCUUCUGUCCACGUUUGCAUUACAGAUUCAGCCAAGGUCUUCGUCCUACCUCUCCCUUGCUGAUCUGGACCUUUUCCAUGGUCUGUGUGUCAAAAGUCUGUUUUAGAAUUUUUUUAAAAGUUAUUUUGAAGGUAGUAAAAUACAACAGAACAAGACAGAACAAAGCCAAUUGAGACAAUGCAGUGAAAUUGGUACAGAACUUCACAGCAGGUUACUGGGAUAACAGUAAUAGGUACUGAAAGGGUUUUGGCCCAGACAGGACACUGUAGCCAGAAAAGCCUCAACUGGAAGCAGGAAGCCCCUAUCUCCCCUGCCCCUAGGAAUUUACCUUUGAUGCCAUCUUCCCACCCUUGGGAAUUUACCUAUGGUGCAAAACCUAGGACCAAUGGGCUACCUGUAUAUCCCUAAUGCCUGCCUUAGGUUCUACCCCAAACUGAGGCUACAUACCCCCAUGCCACAUGUCCGCCAGAGAGAUCGCCGGUCGCCAGCAGUGGGGGUGCCAGUCAUCUCUCUCCAUGUUCUCAGAAUAAAGGCCGCUUUUCAUUUUAUACUUCUCAUCUUUUGGAAAUAUUUUUCAUCUUUUGGAAAUAAUCCUAUGAUUUGGUGCCGUGACUCGAUCGGCAGGCGAUUGACUCCUGGGACACACCCAGUUGAGUCCCCUAGCCAAUAACCAGAUAACAUCCUGGAUUAAUUCCGAGCUUUUUCCUCUCCCAAGAUGUCCUUGUUGCCAGCCUCCUGCACUCAGCAUCGGCCAGAUUGAUUUCAGCUCACAAGAGUGAAAUCAGCUGUGGCAGGCAGCUCGAGAAGAAGCUGAUCGCAGGCAUAAGGCAAACACCACUGAAAACGACCCUGGGCCUGUAGCUGUGCGAGACCAAGAACCUGACUGGAACUAUCAGAAUGGACAAGGUUCAAAAAAUUACAUAAGAUGAUUGUCUGAUUGUGGGCCUUAAUAAGAUUGCUUACAAACAUACUAACUACAACAAGUUUUUAGAACAGGUCCAGGAGGCUAAUGAAAACCCGGCUGUGUUUUUAAAUCAGCUUUGGGAAACCUUAAUCAAGUAUACUAAUGUAAACCCAGAUUCUCAUGAAGGGAUGAUUGUUGUUAACUCUUUAUUUUAUUUCACAGCCUGCUCCUGAUAUUCGUGCAAAAUUACAAAAGGUUGAACAUGGCCCUCAAACUUCACAAGGGGAUCUACUUAAAUUAGCCUUCCGUGUCUUCAACAAUAGAGAUAAGGUUUAAAAGGAGGAAAAGCAAGCUCAAAAAUUAAAGUUUGCUAAAUGUCAGUCUGACCUCUUAGCAGUGGCACUGGGAGCUCCCAAGAUAAGAAAUCCACAAGGUGUGGCUGCCCGAGUCCCGCCUGGACCGUGCUUCAAGUGCAGCAAGCAAAGACACUGGGCAAAAGAUUGCCCUAACCCUGGCAUUCCUCCAGGACCCUGUCCAUACUGCAACCUUAGGGCAUUGGAAGAGUGACUAUCCUAGCCGCCAACGAGCGGGUAAGCCAUCCUCUAAUCCCUUGCCCUCACAGGAGACUCCGUCAAUGCCAGAUUCAUCACUGACUGACCUGCUCAGACUUGCUGCAGAAGAUUGACGGGGCUUGGGGCUCACAGCCCCCACUCCGGUAAACUUGUUGGAGCCCCGAGUCUCACUGGAGGUCUCAGGACUACAACCAAGGUGGAGUGGCCCUUAUUUGGUCUACUUGGCUACCCUUACAGCAGUCAAAGUUGCUGGACUCCCAUCCUGGUUUCACAUCACUCAGGCUAAGAGGUGCCCUCCCAGCCCUAAAUCUGAUCAUUCUGAGUGGUCAUCUCAUCUUCUGUCACCUACCCGUCUCCAUCUCACAAAGGCCCACAACCACAGUUAACAGGCUAUGUCAUGUUUUGUUAUCCACUUUGGUUCCUAAUUUCUUACAUUCUAUUAAUGAUCAUUUUUACAGCAGGACUCUUGACAGUCUUUCCUAAAGACUCCCACAUCAUGCAUAAGAUCAUCUUCAUAAUGUUCUAUAUGAUAACAGUCGCAGUUCUUUCCACCCUCAGCUGUCUGGUUAAACGUGACGUCCCUGAAAGCCUAAGCCCUUACCUUCCCUAUACUGGUAUAGCCACCACCUUCCCUGCUCCCCCUGUUUUUUCCAGUUCAACUUCUGGACCGGAGACAAGUUUUAUACACCUACCGUCUUAACUUUUAUGCUUUCACUUGGGAGAGUAAUCACUUCUCAUAAUAUCAUUUCUCCUAACUCACACUUAAUUGUUAGAAUUCUGCCUUACCGUGGAACAUGUCUAAAUCAAAGGCACCUUUCCCUCUACCUCACCUGGGUCCUUAAAUAUGACAGUGCCACAUCUCCUCAUAAUAUCUUGUCUCUUUGUUUUUCCAGUCUAACAUAUGUGUAUUCACCAGUGAAGUUGUCCUGGCCAAAACACCUGGCACCAGCGUCUACCUGGGCAUCAACCUUCAUCUCUUCAACUCCCCUAGGCUCCAGUACAGCACCCUCUGCCAGCAGGAAGUAGUUAAAGAGAGAAAUCUUUGCCCCUUUUUAUAAUAAUAAUAAUCAUAAGACAGGAUAUGAAAGGGUUUUGGCCCAGACAGGACACUGUAGCCAGAAAAGCCUCAACCGGAAGCAGGAAGCCCCUAUCUCCCCCGCCCCUAGGAAUUUACCUUUGACGCCAUCUUCCUGCCCCUGGGAAUAUGGCGCGAAACCUAGGACCAAUGGGCCACGCCACGUGUCCACCAGAGAGAUCGCCGGUCGCCUGUCAUCUCUCUCCGUGUUCUCAGAAUAAAGGCCACUUUUUAUUUUAUA